UGACCGCUGGCGGCGUGCCUACUACAUGCACGUCGAGCGAACGGACGAGAAGCUUGCUUCUCUGAUGUUAGCGGCGGACGGGUGAGUAACACGUGGAUAACCUACCUAUAAGACUGGGAUAACUUCGGGAAACCGGAGCUAAUACCGGAUAAUAUUUUGAACCGCAUGGUUCAAAAGUGAAAGACGGUCUUGCUGUCACUUAUAGAUGGAUCCGCGCUGCAUUAGCUAGUUGGUAAGGUAACGGCUUACCAAGGCAACGAUGCAUAGCCGACCUGAGAGGGUGAUCGGCCACACGGGAACUGAGACACGGUCCAGACUCCUACGGGAGGCAGCAGUAGGGAAUCUUCCGCAAUGGGCGAAAGCCUGACGGAGCAACGCCGCGUGAGUGAUGAAGGUCUUCGGAUCGUAAAACUCUGUUAUUAGGGAAGAACAUAUGUGUAAGUAACUGUGCACAUCUUGACGGUACCUAAUCAGAAAGCCACGGCUAACUACGUG
rnacentral:rRNA from 1 species